rnacentral:rRNA from 1 species
GCGUGUAGUGAUGAAGGCCCUAGGGUUGUAAAGCUCUUUCACCGGUGAAGAUAAUGARCGGUAACCGAAAAAAAAAAGCCCCGGCUAACUUCGUGCCAGCAGCCGCGGUAAUACGAAGGGGGCUAGCGUUGUUCCGAUUUACUGGGCGUAAAGCGCAUCGUAGGCGGAUUUUUAAGUCAGGGGUGAAAUCCCGGGGUUCAACCCCGGAACUGCCUUUGAUACUGGAAGUCUUGAGUAUGGUAGAGGUGAGUGGAAUUCCGAGUGUAGAGGUGAAAUUCGUAGAUAUUCGGAGGAACACCAGUGGCGAAGGCGGCUCACUGGACCAUUACUGACGCUGAGGUGCGAAAGYGUGGGGAGCAA